AAUAGAUACCCCGGUAGUCCACGCCGUAAACGAUGAGUGCUAAGUGUUAGAGGGUUUCCGCCCUUUAGUGCUGCAGCUAACGCAUUAAGCACUCCGCCUGGGGAGUACGGCCGCAAGGCUGAAACUCAAAGGAAUUGACGGGGGCCCGCACAAGCGGUGGAGCAUGUGGUUUAAUUCGAAGCAACGCGAAGAACCUUACCAGGUCUUGACAUCCUCUGCCAACCCUAGAGAUAGGGCGUUCCCCUUCGGGGGACAGAGUGACAGGUGGUGCAUGGUUGUCGUCAGCUCGUGUCGUGAGAUGUUGGGUUAAGUCCCGCAACGAGCGCAACCCUUGAUCUUAGUUGCCAUCAUUAAGUUGGGCACUCUAAGGUGACUGCCGGUGACAAACCGGAGGAAGGUGGGGAUGACGUCAAAUCAUCAUGCCCCUUAUGACCUGGGCUACACACGUGCUACAAUGGACGGUACAAAGAGCUGCAAGACCGCGAGGUGGAGCUAAUCUCAUAAAACCGUUCUCAGUUCGGAUUGUAGG
rnacentral:rRNA from 1 species